UGGGGAAUAUUGGACAAUGGGCGAAAGCCUGAUCCAGCAAUGCCGCGUGAGUGAUGAAGGCCUUAGGGUUGUAAAGCUCUUUUACCCGGGAUGAUAAUGACAGUACCGGGAGAAUAAGCCCCGGCUAACUCCGUG
rnacentral:rRNA from 2 species